UACGGGGGGAGCAAGCGUUGUUCGGAUUUACUGGGCGUAAAGGGCGCGUAGGCGGCGUGACAAGUCACUUGUGAAAUCUCCGGGCUUAACCCGGAGCGGCCAAGUGAUACUGUCGUGCUAGAGUGCGGAAGGGGCUACUGGAAUUCCUGGUGUAGCGGUGAAAUGCGCAGAUAUCAGGAGGAACACCGGUGGCGAAGGCGGGUCUCUGGACAGUUCCUGACGCUGAGGCACGAAGGCCAGGGGAGCAAACGGG
rnacentral:rRNA from 1 species